GUGGCUGUAGCUCAGUUGGCAGAGCACCUGUCUGUGGAACAGGAUGUCGCGGGUUCAAGCCCCGUCAGCCACC
rnacentral:tRNA from 1 species